rnacentral:sRNA from 1 species
AAGAAUCGAGUGUGGCGAUACAAGAUCAGACCAUUUGAGGACUGGUGACUGUCGACGAGGCCGGCGUUCGAGAAGCAAUUAAGAAAAGCUUUUGAUUCGCUGUGUUUUAUGUUAAGCUGUCUAGUUUGGAAGGAGAGGAGAUGCUAGAAUUUUCGACCAACGAGUGAAAUCUACCUUGCAGCUGCUUGGGGAAGUCAAAGAGGAGAUCAUGCUCUGGAGAGAAGCUGGAGUGUUCAUGAAUCCUUAGGAGUAGUUUGCAGCCCUAGCGAGUACCAGCUGCUGCUGGCAUGUUUCUCAUCAGGUCUCGGCAGAGGCUCGUUGCUUUUCUUGUAUCUAACUUUGUAACAUUAUGUAUACAUCUUAUUUCAACUUAGUACAAUUGGUUGGCCGCUUUUUUAAUUCGGCCAACCCAGCCAAAAUGUGUCCGAUGCAUACAUAUAUUCUGUAUUGAGAUCCCAAAAGACAGAAAUAUCACACGGUUAUGAUGCC